UCCAGAGCUGCUGUUCACCCCA
rnacentral:piRNA from 1 species